rnacentral:RNase_P_RNA from 1 species
UGAGUAAAGUUAACAGCCGCGUAAACAGUGCCGAAAGGCCGUUUAUGAGGAAAGUCCGGGCUGCGCAGGGCAGGAUAACGGAUAACGUCCGCCGGAGGCGACUCCAGGAAAAGUGCAACAGAGAUAUACCGCCACGGCAUUGCCGGGGUAAGGGUGGAAAGGCGAGGUAAGAGCUCACCAGUCGCAUAGGUAACUAUGCGACUCUGUAAACUCUAUCCGCAGCAACACCGCAGAGGGACACACAGGGCUUGCCCGGCCCGUCCCGAGAAGGUGGCUAGAGGUGUGUGGUAACAUGCAUCCCAGAUAGAUGGCUGUUCCAAUGACAGAACCCGGCUUACUCUUUGCUCACUCU